rnacentral:rRNA from 1 species
UACGAGGGGGGCAAGCGUUGUUCGGAAUUAUUGGGCGUAAAGGGCGCGUAGGCGGUGCGGUAAGUCUGUUGUGAAAUCUCCGGGCUCAACUCGGAGCUUGCAUCAGAAACUGCCGUGCUUGAGUGUGGGAGAGGGUAGUGGAAUUCCCGGUGUAGUGGUGAAAUGCGUAGAUAUCGUAAGGAAGACCAGUGGCGAAGGCGGGUCUCUGGACAGUUCCUGACGCUGAGGCACGAAGGUCAGGGGAGCAAACGGG